CUUUGAUAUUCAUCUCUGGCAUCUUGAACUUAGGCCCUUUCAACUUUCCCUCUGGUCCUUCAAUGUUAACAUCAGGGCCUUCAAUGUCCACCUUGGGUCCUGAGAUGUCAACGUCAGCCUUAGGCAAGUUGACGUCUACUUCAGGGCCCUCUGCUUUGAAGCCAGGCAUGCUGAACUUGGGCAUUUUCAUCUUGGGCAUCUUCAGGUGCCAGUCUGGGCCAUGAACAUCCACAUCUGGGGCAUCAAUGUCCACUUUGGGCCCUCUGAUGUCAACAUCUGGCACUUUCAUUUCACCUUCUACCUUGGGAACAGACACAUCCAUAUCCCCUUUGACUUUGGGGCCUUUCAAGUGUAAGUCCACAUCAGGCAUGGAGAUCUUGGGGGCCUUGAAGUGCAUCUCAGGCAUCUUAAACUUGGGGCCCUUCAGCUUUCCUUCCGGGCCCUCAAGGCUCACAUCUGGGACUUCAACAUCCACCUUGGGUCCUGAGACAUCAAUGUCAGCC
rnacentral:lncRNA from 1 species